rnacentral:lncRNA from 1 species
CCUUAUUUUAAUCUGCUUUGGGUGCAAAGGCCAAAACUUAUAAGAAAAUAAUUUUAAAAAAUGGCCAAAAUCUAUUGUCUGUAUUAAAUUCUGUAAGUUAAUAACUACAUCAUCUAAUUCAACCAUGUAGAAACUACAAAAGAACCAUGUAGGAACUGACAAACAAUCACAUUACAUACACACCAAUAUUUGGAUAUAAAGCUUCAUAAAUUAGAUCCUUAAAAAAGAAAAACCCUUCCCUGCAUGAAAUUAUAUAGGUCAACUCAAUCCAUCACCUUGGAACAUGUGGUACAAGCAUUAGAUGAUACCAUAGGAAUUGCAGUGGAAAGAUCAGAUAUAGGUAACAAGCAAUUAGCAAGUAAAGCAUUGCUAGUUGCAGUGAAAAAAGCUUCCCAAUAAUGUGGUGGAGGGAUACUAUUAACAGCUUCGAUAUUGAUCUCGAAAAGCUCUUCGUCUCCUUCUUCAUCUUCAUUUUUCAUCUUUGUUAUAAUCUGGGUUUCGCUGCUCUUUCCUCCAUGAUCUACAAUUUCAUCUUUGAUACUGAACGAAGCCAUUGAUUUCAGUGUUGAGUUUGUGAAAGUUUGGAGCAUCCAGC